rnacentral:rRNA from 1 species
AUUGAACGCUGGCGGCAUGCUUUACACAUGCAAGUCGAACGGCAGCACGGGGGCAACCCUGGUGGCGAGUGGCGAACGGGUGAGUAAUAUAUCGGAACAUGUCCGGAAGUGGGGGAUAACGUAGCGAAAGUUACGCUAAUACCGCAUAUGCCCGGAGGGGGAAAGGGGGGGAUCGCAAGACCUCUCGCUUUCGGAGUGGCCGAUAUCAGAUUAGCCAGUUGGUGGGGUAAAGGCCUACCAAGGCAACGAUCUGUAGCUGGUCUGAGAGGACGACCAGCCACACUGGGACUGAGACACGGCCCAGACUCCUACGGGAGGCAGCAGUGGGGAAUUUUGGACAAUGGGGGCAACCCUGAUCCAGCCAUGCCGCGUGAGUGAAGAAGGCCUUCGGGUUGUAAAGCUCUUUCGGACAGAAAGAAAUCGUGCAGAAUAAUACUCUGUAUGGAUGACGGUACUGUAGGAAGAAGCACCGGCUAACUACGUGCCAGCAGCCGCGGUAA